AUCAUAAGAACUCAGUCUAAGAACAUCGCAUACUAAGAUAACGACUGAGUGACCAACAUCUUGUUGC
rnacentral:sRNA from 1 species